rnacentral:rRNA from 1 species
GACGAACGCUGGCGGCGUGCUUAACACAUGCAAGUCGAGCGGAAAGGCCCUUCGGGGUACUCGAGCGGCGAACGGGUGAGUAACACGUGAGUAACCUGCCCUAGGCUUUGGGAUAACCCUCGGAAACGGGGGCUAAUACCGGAUAUGACUUCUGGCCGCAUGGCUGGGGUGGAAAGUUUUUUCGGCUUGGGAUGGACUCGCGGCCUAUCAGCUUGUUGGUGGGGUAAUGGCCUACCAAGGCGACGACGGGUAGCCGGCCUGAGAGGGCGACCGGCCACACUGGGACUGAGACACGGCCCAGACUCCUACGGGAGGCAGCAGUGGGGAAUAUUGCACAAUGGGCGGAAGCCUGAUGCAGCGACGCCGCGUGAGGGAUGACGGCCUUCGGGUUGUAAACCUCUUUCAGCAGGGACGAAGCGAGAGUGACGGUACCUGCAGAAGAAGCACCGGCCAACUACGUGCCAGCAGCCGCGGUAAUAC